rnacentral:lncRNA from 12 species
GAGGACUCUUCCUUAGACUGCACAGGGUCAUGGAAACAUAUCUGGGGACUUCCAGAAACCAUGGGUAGGGAAGUUGUCACCCAGAGCAGCUCAGACAGCCUCCCCCAGCCUCUUUGGAGCCAUUGUAACAUCUGGGGGCAAACAUCUUUCUGCUCCAGGGAGCCCAGCAGCUCUCCAGGCUCCUGGGAUUGACCUCAGUGGUGGGAAUAACCUGCAUUUCCCAGGGUUUUCCGGCAGCUGCCUUAUUCCAGACCCAUAGCCACUGGCAAAGAUUUGUUGCACCAGGAGCUGCACCAGUCAGUCAGUCCGUGGGUUGGGGUAGGAGCAGUGAGGACAUUGGCAGUCCUGACCUAACUUGCCAGGAUCAGGGCAAGAUCCAUUUUGAGAGACAUUCUCCCACACCCAAGUGGGGCAAACAGCAGCAGGCAGAGCCUCUGUGAAAAGCAAAGGCUGCUACAGGAGGAGGGGGUCAAAAAAAGGAAACGGAACGGAAAAGGGCUGCUCCUGUGAGAGCGAUGCAGCUGCGGAGGUGGAGCAGCAGGCAGGUCACAAACAGCCGCGCACGAGGAAGUGCUGGGACAGCAGCCAGCGUGGCCAGGCUGCAGCAGCUCCAGGUGCAGCAGAUCUUUGCUGAGAAGGACCGGGAGAAGAGGCAACCAGAACUGCAGGGACCUCAGCCAGGACCUGGAGAUCCCCUUUGCAGGAGUCGCCAAAACUUCCUUCUGCCAAGCUGGUCGAAUUCUUUCUCGUGCUUCCUCUGGAAGCCCUGUGGUCUGCUGGGGGGCACCAUGGAGGCAGCAGCUUCACCAGCUUCACACAGACUUAACCCAAACCCCUAAUAAGGGGUUUGGAGGAAAUCCAUCUUGGGGAAGAAAACUGCAGCACUUCACCAGCUUCGUUUGACAGGCUGGGAUUUAAUCAAACCCCAGGAUCUCCAGAAGUGCUCCUUGGGGAAGUGGAAAUCAGACAGAACAUCUCAGCAGCCUUCUCCAGAUUGUCAUCUUCUCACACAACUGAGCUCUUCUGUAUUGUCCCCACUUCUCAACUGGCAGGGAGGGGACAUCACUGUCCCAUCAGCACAGGCUGGGCUGUGCCCUCCCUGGUGAUGAGCACCGAGGGACACCUUUCCUGAGCGUCAGUGUCCCUGCAGGAGCAGAGGUAGGUCAGCCACUGCUGAGCCUGAUGGGGUGAUGCAGAAAUGCUCCAUGUCCCCUGUGAAUAUAGCACAAAUGUUGAUGAGCCCAUCACAUGCCCCGGUGCCCCCUGUGCAUCCCAAGAAUAAGAAUAAGUUUGCCUGCUCUGUGCCUGCCACACCCAUGGAUCUUAAAAAACAAACCUGUUUGAGAGCACAGGCGGGUGCACCCAUGGGUCACAGAGAGGUGCUCGCCCUUCCUCCCACAGCUGGGCUCUGCCCAUGCCUUUGCCCCCAGGGAUGCCCGCAAAAGGGAUGAUCCCUUGGCCAUAGCACCCAGUCCUGCUCUGCAGGGUCCUGCCAGGGGUUUGGAGCAGGUCAGCCUCUCCCUGCCCAUCCCAUGGCACCAGCUGGGCCUGAAUUUCCAGCUUUUGCAGAACAAGUUCCCGGGUGGCUGCACUUGG